rnacentral:rRNA from 1 species
GAGUUUGAUCCUGGCUCAGGACGAACGCUGGCGGCGUGCCUAAUACAUGCAAGUGGAGCGACGAACCAGGGCUUGCCCUGGGGCAAAGCCGCGAACGGGUGAGUAACACGUGGGUAACCUGCCCUGAUGAUUGGGACAACCCGAGGAAACUCGGGCUAAUACCAAAUGUGCUUUUCAACCUUAAGGUUGAUUCGGAAAGGUAGCUUCGGCUAACCGCAUCAGGAUGGGCCCGCGGCCCAUUAGCUUGUUGGUGAGGUAACGGCUCACCAAGGCUUCGAUGGGUAGCUGGUCUGAGAGGACGAUCAGCCACACUGGGACUGAGACACGGCCCAGACUCCUACGGGAGGCAGCAGUAGGGAAUCUUGCGCAAUGCGCGAAAGCGUGACGCAGCAACGCCGCGUGGAGGAAGACGGUCUUCGGAUUGUAAACUCCUUUCAGUUGGGACGAGGCUUCGGCGUUGAAUAGACGUUCGGAGUGACGGUACCUUCAGAAGAAGCCCCGGCUAAUUACGUGCCAGCAGCCGCGGUAAUACGUAGGGGGCGAGCGUUGUCCGGAAUCAUUGGGCGUAAAGCGCGUGUAGGCGGCUCGAUAAGUCUGCUGUGAAAGUCCAGGGCUCAACCCUGGAAUGCCGGUGGAUACUGUCGAGCUCGAGUCCGGAAGAGGCGAGUGGAAUUCCUGGUGUAGCGGUGAAAUGCGCAGAUAUCAGGAGGAACACCGGUGGCGAAGGCGGGUCUCUGGGCCGUAACUGACGCUGAGGAGCGAAAGCAUGGGGAGCGAACAGGAUUAGAUACCCUGGUAGUCCAUGCCGUAAACGUUGGGCGCUAGGUGUGGGGCUCUUUCCACGAGUUCCGUGCCGCAGCAAACGCAUUAAGCGCCCCGCCUGGGGAGUACGGCCGCAAGGCUAAAACUCAAAGGAAUUGACGGGGGCCCGCACAAGCGGCGGAGCAUGCGGAUUAAUUCGAUGCAACGCGAAGAACCUUACCAAGGCUUGACAUGGGGUGAAAACCGGCAGAGAUGUCGGGUCCGCAAGGGCACCUCACAGGUGGUGCAUGGUUGUCGUCAGCUCGUGUCGUGAGAUGUUGGGUUAAGUCCCGCAACGAGCGCAACCCUCGUUCUAUGUUGCCAGCACGUAAUGGUGGGGACUCAUAGGAGACUGCCGGGGUCAACUCGGAGGAAGGUGGGGAUGACGUCAAAUCAUCAUGCCCCUUAUGUCUUGGGCUUCACGCAUGCUACAAUGGCCAGUACAAAGGGCUGCGAGACCGUAAGGUGGAGCGAAUCCCAAAAAGCUGGUCUCAGUUCGGAUCGGGGUCUGCAACUCGACCCCGUGAAGUCGGAGUCGCUAGUAAUCGCAGAUCAGCAACGCUGCGGUGAAUACGUUCCCGGGCCUUGUACACACCGCCCGUCACGUCACGAAAGUCGGUAACACCCGAAGCCGGUGGCCCAACCCUUGUGGAGGGAGCCGUCGAAGGUGGGACUGGCGAUUGGGACGAAGUCGUAACAAGGUAGCCGUACCGGAAGGUGCGGCUGGAUCACCUCCUUUCU